UACCUAACCCCUAGCGACGACAUAAACACCUUCCAAAAUAAAUUGGACGAAAUUGAGGAUCUGCUCGUGGAUCGACGGCAGCCCUUCAUUGUGGCAGGCGAUCUGAAUGCACGAGCAGUAGAUUGGGGAAUGCCAUCGACUAACUCUAGAGGACGGAAAAUUAUGAAUAUGGUCGCUAGGUCCGGACUUGAUGUGGCAAA